rnacentral:rRNA from 1 species
AUGGAUCCCACCAUUCCCAUACACACAGUCAUCUGCCUUGUUUGUUGGUCAUUUUCCCUAUUGCCAUUAUGUGCAUCAUCCAGCAGACACCUUCUUCCCGGCAAGCCACUUUCUGCUGGUAGCACCAUCACCUCCAACGAUGGCACUUUUGCCCUGGGAUUCUUCUCCCCCUCCAGCUCUGGCACAAAACAGUACUACAUCGGCAUAUGGUACAAGAACAUACCCGAAGACAACGUUGUGUGGGUUGCCAACCGUGCUAUGCCGGUCACUGAUCCUUCUUCUGCAACACUUGCCUUCACAAACGGAUCUGAUCUCGCCUUGUCAGACACCAACGGCCAGCUUCUAUGGACGACAAACAUCAGCGCUGCAGGAAAUUCAUCAUCAGAGGCAACUGCUGGAAAAGCCACACUUUAUAACAAUGGGAAUUUUAUCCUUCGGUCACAGGGCAUCAUCUUAUGGCAAAGCUUCGAUUACCCGACCGACACUCUCCUUCCAGGUAUGAACUUCAGGAUCACCCACAAGACGCAUGCACUACAACAGCUCAUCUCUUGGAGAAACCCCCAAGACCCAUCCCCAGGCAACUUCACAUAUGGUGCACACCCUGAUGAGUUUCUGCAGCGUUUUGUAUGGAAUGGCUCAACACCAUACAGGCGAAGUCCAGUAUGGAAUAACUUUUUGGUAGUCGGGCAGUAUAUCGGGAGUAUAAAGUCCACAAUUUACUUUACACUGCAAACUGUUGAUGAUGAGGUCUACAUUUCCUUUGGAGUACCAGCACCAAGUGUCUCCUCAUUAGUGCUAGUGAAGAUGGACUGCUCCGGCAAGAUGAAGAUACGAACCUGGAAUAGCAACGUGUCCAAAUGGACUGACCUGCAGUCAGAACCUAACCAGGAAUGCAACAAAUAUGGUUACUGUGGUCCAUUUGGUUACUGUGACAACACACAGCCUAUUGUGACAUGCAAGUGUCUUGAUGGCUUUGAGCCAAACAACAAACAGGACUGGACGGCCCGCAGGUUUUCACAGGGAUGCCACCGGAUGGAAGCACUACGAUGUGGUCAAGGGGAUGGCUUCUUAAAUAUGUCAAGCAUGAAGGUUCCCGAUCAGUUUGUGCAUGUCAAGAAUAGAAGCUUAGAUGACUGCAUAGCAGAUUGCACCAGCAACUGCUCCUGCACGGCGUAUGCUUAUGCCAAUAUGAGCACCAAGGUUAUCAAUGGGGAUGAAACUAGGUGCCUAUUAUGGAUUGGAGAUUUGAUUGACACAGAGAAGCUCAUGGGAGAAGGGGAAAACCUCUACAUCCGGGUUAAUGGAUUCAGUGUUCUAUAG